GAUUUCAGGUUGAUAGAUCCUCAGACUCAAGUGUCACGGGCCUGUGUAAGUACCUGCUGCAUCUUUAUGUUUAGAGCUGUACCUCACUUCCCCUCUGCCCCGGAAGACCAACCUAUGCCCAGGACAAUCUGCCAAGCCCCAGGACCAUCCCACCCGCUAUGCACAUCUUCAACUUUGCUAUAGAAAACAAUGUUGGUUUUUAAAUUCGUUAUGUGAUGAUUCAUUCUGUCCCCUGUCCUGUCUUCCCUCUGCACUCUCCCCCCAAAAGUUUGAGCUCACCAGUGUCACACAGUUUGCUGCUCAUCAAGAAAACAAAAGGCUGGUUGGCUUCGUCAUCCGAGUGCCGGAGUCUACAGGAGAAGAGUCUCUGAGCACAUACAUUUUUGAAAGCAACUCAGAAGGCGAGAAGAUAUGUUAUGCUAUUAAUUUGGGGAAAGAAAUUAUUGAGGUUCAAAAGGCACACUGACCUGAUUAGAACACCGACAAUCACGUGUGGAGUGUACCCUUGGAUGCCCUGGCACAGAGACUUGGGAGGGAGACAGUCAGAAAUGGGUGAGAGCG
rnacentral:lncRNA from 1 species